rnacentral:rRNA from 1 species
GGUUACGUCGUGGGAGCAGCCGGGGUAGUACGAAGGUUGCGAGCGUUGCUCGGAAUUAGUGGGCGUAAAGGUGAGGUAGGUGGUAAUAGAAGUCUGGGGUGAAAUCCCUGAGCUCAACUCAGGACGUGUCUUGGAAACUUUAUUACUAGAGUGCUGGAGAGGGUCGCAGAAUUCCCGGUGUAGCGGUGAAAUGCGUAGAGAUCGGGAGGAAUACCAGAGGCGAAGGCGGCGAACUGGACAGCAACUGACACUCAACUACGAAAGCGUGGGUAGCAAACAGGAUUAGAUACCCUUGUAGUC